AGACGGCCCUAUGGGUUGUAAACUGCUUUUGUACCGGAGAAAACCUUUCCCUGCGGGGAGAGCUGAUCGUACGGUGAGAAUAAGCAUCGGCUAACUUCGUGCCAGCAGCCGCGGUAAGACGAAGGAUGCAAGCGUUAUCCGGAUUCAUUGGGUUUAAAGGGAGCGUAGGCGGUCUAAUAAGUCAGUGGUGAAAUCUCUCGGCUUAACUGAGAAAUGGCCAUUGAUACUGUUGGACUUGAGUACAGAUGCCGUUGGCGGAAUAUGACAUGUAGUGGUGAAAUACAUAGAGAUGUCAUAGAACACCGAUUGCGAAGGCAGCUGACGAAACUGUAACUGACGCUGAGGCUCGAAAGUGUGGGGAUCAAACAGGAUUAGAUACCCUGGUAGUCCACACUGUAAACGAUGAUUACUCGCUGCUGAGGGGUGACCUUCAGUGGCUUAGCGAAAGCGAUAAGUAAUCCACCUGGGGAGUACGCCGGCAACGGUGAAACUCAAAGGAAUUGACGGGGGCCCGCACAAGCGGAGGAGCAUGUGGUUUAAUUCGAUGAUACGCGAGGAACCUUACCAGGGCUUGAAAGUUAGUGANG
rnacentral:rRNA from 1 species